GGGCGCAUAGCUCAGUUGGCUAGAGCGUCUCGUUUACACCGAGAAGGUCCAAGGUUCGAGUCCUUGUGCGCCCACCA
rnacentral:tRNA from 1 species